UUUUUUAAAAUAGAAAGAAAAAAUAAUAAAUGCCGAGUUGUUACAACAGAUUCAUGCAAUGAUAUAGAACAGAUUCAUGUUCUCAUCAACCCUACGCGUCCCAAUCCUAUGCGACACCGACAUACAACACAACCCAAGCGCACGUUAGUAACACGCGCCAACCCCCUCUGUCUCUCCCUUUGCAAAAUUCACUCCCUCAAAUCCUAGAUUCCUCUCUCUCUCUGUGCCAAAUCUCGUUUCCAUUUAACAAGCAUCAAAUUUCAAUCAAACACUGUUACUUCUCAUCCAUUCAAUCACGAUUUCCUUUUCUUUCUCUGCUAACUGCUAAAAGUCGUUGUUGAUUUCAUUCCAACAAAGCCAAUUUCAUAUUUCUGCCAAACUCCUUUCCUUUCUCUUGUGAUCCUUCUUUACUUCUCAUGUUCUUUUUCUUUUGAGCUCUCAGAUUACUCGGUAUUCAGAAUCUCUGUUAUUGGGUUUAGGUUUUUGUGAUUUGGCGCUGUGUCCUAUGAAUUGAUUGAGUCAGCGGUUUUCAAUUGCAAUGCGAUGAGAAGGCGCUCUGACCAAACGGAGAAGGGGGCACCAAAGAAUCAGAAUCCCCGCCUUUGCCUUUUGGCAUCCCUUUCUGCUUUCUUCUGGUUCUUGCUCCUUUACUUCCAUUUUGUGGUGCUUGCAGGAGAUAAUAACAAUACCAAUAGCGAGAGUAAUUACAAUACUCAUGUUGAUCAUCACUCAACCGUGUCUACGACACCUGCCCCGAUCCAUGUAAUGGAUUCCCCUCAAGUGCAGGCCCCUCCUAGGAAGAUUGGGUUCCCUCACCCUGAUGUGCCGCGGAAGGACACUCACACUGACACCCCUCGCACUGGGAAGAAUUUCCCUUUCAUGCCAGCAAUGAGGGCUGCUGAAAACAAGAGUGAUCCCUGUGGGGGGAGGUACAUUUAUGUGCAUGAUCUUCCCUCCAGGUUCAACGAGGAUAUGUUGAAGGAGUGCAGGAGUUUGAGUCUUUGGACUAAUAUGUGCAAGUUCACCUCCAAUUCUGGCCUUGGUCCGCCCCUUGAGAAUGUUGAAGGGGUCUUCUCUGAUACUGGCUGGUAUGCUACCAAUCAGUUUGCUGUUGAUGUUAUAUUCAGCAAUCGAAUGAAACAGUAUGAAUGCUUGACAAAUGAUUCCUCUGUUGCUGCUGCGGUUUUUGUACCCUUCUAUGCUGGAUUUGACAUUGCGCGCUAUCUUUGGGGUUAUAAUAUUUCAGUGAGGGAUGCAGCUUCGCUUGAUCUUGUUGAUUGGCUCAUGAAGAGACCAGAGUGGAGCAUAAUGAAUGGCAGAGACCAUUUUCUUGUUGCAGGAAGGAUAACGUGGGAUUUUAGGAGACUGUCUGAGGAAGAAUCGGAUUGGGGCAAUAAGCUUUUGUUUUUACCAGCGGCAAAGAAUAUGUCCAUGCUUGUGGUUGAGUCCAGUCCUUGGAAUGCGAAUGACUUUGGGAUUCCGUAUCCUACAUACUUCCACCCGGCCAAGGAUGAUGAUGUGUUCAUUUGGCAGGAUAGAAUGAGGCAACUAGAGAGGAAGUGGCUUUUCUCCUUUGCUGGUGCUCCCCGUCCUGGUAACCCCAAAUCAAUCAGGGGUCAGUUAAUUGAUCAAUGCAGAAGGUCAAAGGUUUGUAAGCUGUUGGAAUGUGAUUUUGGAGAAAGCAAAUGUCACUCUCCCGGCAGCAUAAUGAAGAUGUUUCAAAGCUCGCUUUUCUGCUUGCAACCCCAGGGUGAUUCAUACACACGAAGAUCUGCUUUUGACUCAAUGUUGGCUGGUUGUAUACCCGUCUUCUUCCAUCCUGGCUCAGCAUAUACACAGUAUACAUGGCAUCUUCCCAAGAAUUACACCAAGUAUUCUGUCUUCAUUCCAGAGGAUGAUAUCCGUAAGAGGAAUAUCAGUAUAGAGGAAAGGCUUAGUGAGAUACCUCCUGAACAAGUGAAGAUCAUGAGAGAAGAGGUUAUUAGUCUCAUUCCAAGACUAGUAUAUGCCGAUCCUCGCUCCAAAUUAGAAACUCUUAAAGAUGCAUUCGACGUUGCUGUACAAGCAAUAAUUGACAAGGUUACAAAUUUGAGGAAGGAUAUCAUUGAAGGUCGCACAGAUGAUGGCUUCAUUGAGGAGAACAGUUGGAAAUACGCUUUGUUGCCUGAGGGAGAGCAUGAGGUGGGACCUCAUGAAUGGGAUCCUUUCUUCUCCAAACCAAAGGAUGGUAGUGGAGAUUCCAAUGAUUCCUCUGCUGAAGCUGCAAAAAAUUCUUGGAAGAGUGAGCAAGUAAAUCAAUCAUAAAGUGAAGAAGAGAUAACAGAUGACAUCCUUUUACAAAUACUACCUUGAGUGCUCACAUUGUUGACAAGGGGACCCAAAUACUGGUGUCUCGGAGAGAGGCAGAUUCUGCACAGCAUUCAUUGCUGAUAGACCAAGGUUGGUGAACAUGGAAGAAUUGCAGAAAGGAAGUCAUUGAAUGAUGAUGACCUUUCCAAGCUGAAGGAGAGGCAAAAUUUCAUAAAAUCUUGUGUCAGAAAAGACAUGAUGAGUAUGCAAAUUGAAGUUACAUGCAC